CUGGAAUAUUAGCACGCAGGGGAAGAGCACUGUGAUUAAAAUGAAUAAUCCGCCACAAAAAACGGUGUAGUGUGAGACAAACAGGAAACGGGGGAGAAGAGUCGGGGGAAAACUUGCAGCAAAGGGCCACUAGCUGGACUCGAACCCGGGACACUGCGUCAGGGACCAGCCCCUGUACAUGGAUCACCUGCUUAACCUGUUGAGCUAUAUGGACCAAAGAACUACAGACUCUUCACAACCUGCUCAAACUCUUGGUACAGGACCUCACCACACGGAUCAAGAAGGUUUCCAUCUCAUUUCUACUCUGAAGCUCACCUUCUCCUGCUCAAACUGCUGACAAAUGUUUCUGCUGCUCUAAAGUCUGGUCUCCAGAACUUCCUAAAAACUCUCAAAGUCUCUUCUGCUGCAGGUUGCUUUGUAGAACUGUUGCAGAAAACCUCACUAAACCACAUGGAGGGGCCUCAAGAUAGUCGUCCAAAUGAAACCAUACAAAAACCAAACUAGUACAACCCAAACGCUAAAGUCUCCUGCAGCCUACCAGAGAACCUCUGAGAACAGAGAAUCAGGACAGGAACUCUUACCUUCUGGACAAUCAACAUCGGUUCUCAAACAAGAACACAGAAUGUGUCUGACCAAAAACCUCUAAAGACUCACUACAGCCAAGAUAAAGACACAACUCAGCUGCACCAAAUCCACUAAUCACUGCAAACAUUAGUACCAUGUGCUAACUGUGGCUAAAGAACCACAUUUACCAAGACAACUAUCCAGUACAAAGCCCUAAAACACACCAAGAAACACAUUAAAGCCUAUUUUACUGCUGGAAGCUGCAAGCCAACGCCUAAAGAACAAACCAAAGCAACAGAACCAAACCCAGUUCAGUGGUGAAGAGAAGCAGAGGAAAUGUUUGUCUGCAGCUAAAUAAAGCAGGAAGACACUGAGCUGCUCAGGUGUUCCUAAUAACACCAAGCAGCCACCUGGACAGCCAAUAGGAACACAGCUUACUGGAAGUCCAGAGGGCUGGGUUAGUGAAGGAAAUUUAGUUUAAAGUUGAAGCAGAAAGUUAACAAAGAAGGUUGAAAACCACCUUCUGAUACCUGAAAUCUCUGAGUUUCCACACAAAGAACACCUGAACAUGUCAAACUGGUUCCAUAGUAGAACCAUCAUUGUAAAAAUGUCAUAGUAUGGUGUGUUGCUCAAAAAACAUUAGGACCCAGCUGUCAGGGGACAAACAUGUAAGAAACAUGAGAACAGAGAGAACCCAACCAGUAGGUCACAGUUUAUCAUCCCCCAGUCAUCUCCUGAAGUCCAUAUGGUGAGAGACAUCAGUAUCUGGUUGUUAAUUUACCAGAGGAUGCUUAUAAUCAUGCUGAUGUGGUCUGUACUCUACAGUAUUUUAGUGACUCAAUAAAUGCCUAAGUUGUUUUUUUUUAUGCUUUUUAGUUUUUAAUAAACAUUUAACAGUCUAUAUGUAAUCAAUAAAUGGCCUUUGCCUAUCUUAAGAAAAAUUCACUCAGAACUCUGAUAUGUUAACAGUACUAAAUAAAUCAAUAAAUACAUGCAUACACACAUAAAUAAGUUAAUACAUUAACUGUGUUAAGAUAAGAUUUAGAUUUUUUUUAAAAAAGUUGUUUAUGUUUUUGCAGAAUCCAGUAUUGCUCACUGGUUGGUCAUUACAUUUUAUUAGUUUGAUUUCACUGUUUAAAAUGAUGCCACCUCUUUUCAGACAGAACCUGUGAUAAUAAAACAAUACAAAAUUUUUAGUUCCAUGUUAAUAAAGCACUUAAAGCUUUAAGUAUGGCUAAAUGCUUUUUUCAGAAUUAAAUAUAUCACUCCUUAGGUGGUAGUGGCCCCAAGUUCAGUAAAGUUGGAAAGAUAUUCACAGAUUCGGACUUCCAGCAUCAAUAACUCGUUAGAUAUAGGUUGUCAAAACAUAAACGGUGCCUCUUUCCCAUUGUUGCAAGGCAGACAAUGUGCUACAAGCCCAGUUUUAUCAAAAGUAACUGUCUUUCAAGCUACAGGAAUAACAUUGGUGUCUAUGGAGUGAACAGGAUCCGUCUGCAAUUUGCAAAAUCGCUGCAACAGUAAAGAGAGACAAAUAUUCAAUAACUUCACUCUUAUACAUUGUAGUGUCACUAAAAUCACUGCAGCCUUCAACUGGCUCCUGUUGACAAAGUGUUUUAACAGAAAUGUAAAUGCUGUAAUUUGAUUCUUUUAAUGAACCAUGUAACUUGAAUGGAUGUGAUGCUGGUGUGACCACAGUGCACACGUCUGAUGUUGCUCACAGUGGUCCAAGGGACGCUCAGGGAGUUUGUGUGUUUGCUCAGACUCAUGAAAAAUUACAGGGAACAUUGUUUGGGACUCAAGCACUUCCUUCUUUUACUCACUAUCUCCCCAGCCUUAGAAAAAAAAACCUGUUCACACGGCACAGAUGAGGCUGAGGUACACAGGAAAUGUUUGGCUCCAUUGUACAAGUUUGGGUAAACAGUUUUGUGGGUUGCCCAGUAAGCCAGUGGGUCUGCCGUUCUUUCUACAAUUGCAUUCGCUGUGGCGCUUUGCAUUUGCCAGGCUCUACUUGCGUCUUCGUCUAAUAGGCUCCACAGUUGAACUGAAAAAUAUUGAAGAUCAUCAUCAUCAUCACCAGAAAUGUCAGUCAUUCCCUAUUCAGAAGAGAAAAAGAAUACCUGUGGAAGGUGCUGCUGGUGAUGGAGGACGAGGCUGUGGUGGUGCUUGUGAGGUAGAUGACUACUGCUUAGCAUUCUUUAUGUUAAUUGUUGUGCAUUCUGUUAUUAAAUGUUCUUUCACACUGGCUGCCACUCUGAUUGGUGAAUCCAAAAGUUUUGAACUGCAGAGCCACAAGUGUAGCAACAGUCAGUGAACUGUUCUUUUCUUUGGUUUGUAGUCUGUCAGCUAAGCACCUGACAAGGUUCUGUGCCAGGUGUUGUG